rnacentral:rRNA from 1 species
CCGACGGUGAGAGAUGAAAGCCAGGGGAGCGAACGGGAUUAGAUACCCCGGUAGUCCUGGCCGUAAACGAUGCGUGUUAGGUGUUGGUAGGGCUCUGAGCCGUAUCAGUGCCGUAGGGAAACUGUUAAACGCGCCGCCUGGGAAGUACGCUCGCAAGGGUGAAACUUAAAGGAAUUGGCGGGGGAGCACCACAAGGGGUGAAGCCUGCGGUUCAAUUGGACUCAACGCCGGGAAACUUACCGGGGGC